UAAUAAAGUGUUUUAUGGCACUUUUUAAAAAAAUCCAUAUCCACCUUGUGUGCAAUGUUUUAUAAUGUUUAUAGACUUUUUUUCUAUAACUUUAUAAUUUACAUCAACUCAUUUUUUAAACUAAUUUGUCUGAAAAAAAAUAUUAUGAAUACUUAAUUCAAAAUA
rnacentral:misc_RNA from 1 species